GACAGAGGGGGCAAGCGUUGCUCGGAAUCACUGGGCGUAAAGGGCGCGUAGGCGGGAUGGCAAGUCAGUCGUGAAAUCUCUCGGCUCAACCGAGAAACGUCGGCUGAUACUGCCGUUCUUGAGGGAUGCAGAGGAGACUGGAAUUCCCGGUGUAGCGGUGAAAUGCGCAGAUAUCGGGAGGAACACCAAUGGCGAAGGCAGCUCGCUGGGACGGUACUGACGCUGAGACGCGAAAGCGUGGGGAGCAAACAGG
rnacentral:rRNA from 1 species